rnacentral:misc_RNA from 1 species
CUGGUGUGAUGAUAAGAAUUUGAAGAAGAUCUUUAAGGAUCUGGACAACAUUGAUUUCCUGUACUUCGGCAAUCUUAGUGACUAUGAGGAAGAGAUGCUUCAAACUAAGGUCUCUGACCUGAUGCAUAAUUUAGGGAUUCCUGCUCUGUCAGAGAUUAUAACUCGAGAAGCAAUAUACUAUGGUCCAUCAGACUGUAGCUUCAAAGCUGCAUUGGUUGACUGGGCACUUCCUUAUGCUCAGCGCUAUAUCUAUAGUGUACACCCUGAUAAGUAUCUCCAAUUUAAGCUGUCUGGAUUGGAUAAUCUUGA